rnacentral:lncRNA from 1 species
GAACACCUUGCAGGAUGCUCCACGGCACCUCCAUGUUAGCGGCGAGGAGCAGCCCCAGCAGGACCACGUAGCCGACCACGCCCAUCAGAUCAGAUACCUGCAGUCUCUUCCAGCUGGUAAGCUGCAACCUGUUCUCCCCGUUCAUAUUUUCCCCGUCAUCUGUCGGCAGGUUCGAGAAUAUUUCGUCCCUGUUGAUGUGCUGAUGUUCAUGGUCUCAGAUGCUACUUGCCCAAAUUGGAAGUUGCGAAAGCAGAUGAAAUCUUUGGUUAUUCUUUUACUGAUGUAAAUCAUGUGUGGUGUUAGUGUCUUGCAUAACAUCAGAUAUCUAAAUGGCCACCGAAAGUUUCAGGUCGGCAUCAUGGAUUGCCAUAAAAGAUUUCCCAUCUCUGUCCAGAUUUGAGGUGGCUUAUCCCAUUUUUCUAAGAAACAUUCUGCCUGAGCCAUUGCAUAAAAGAUGGCGGAUCGGGUCAGGCUGGAUCCUGAUUGGGCAGUGUCGGUGUAAAAUAAGGAGAGGCUUUUGAAGGUACUCAUUCCAUGUGGAGUUCAAGGCACCAUGAAUAAACCCAGUGCGUGCGUUGAAAAUUCCCUAAAAAGGGUAAAAUAGCACAGACAAGACGAUCCCUCUCCAUGGAGUGGAGCGAUCACUAAGACUGAAGCUCUGCAUGCAGGUCACACCUCCUGAACACUGAAAGGGAAAAAAAUAGAAACAUAAUUAUAGAGCAGAAUGGGCACGGUGCAAUUACAGAUAAAAAUCAAAUGGAUGAAAGCCUCACAUGACAGUUUUUUUUCAGAAGCUUUGAGACCGAGUUCAAUGGCAGGACGUUUCUAUGAACACACAGUUUCUGCAGCCAGUGGAUCUAAUCCUUCACCUGCUCCUACGAUCGUGAAGUUGGUGCCGAAAGAGCCUUCCAUUUUCCGCUCUGAGAGCAUAAAUCUCCCUUGCGCAUGUCUCACGGUCGCCCUCCAUUAUGUAGCUUAAUUGGGAGGUGGAGGAGAACGACGGCAUCCCAUGACUGCGGAGCACCAGGUCUUCAUUGCCUUCUUUUUUCUCGAGCGAACGGACGUUUUUCAUUCCCGUGAUGGGUUUUCCUUUGCCAUUAGCUAUGAUCUGGUGGUCUUUGAGUCCCUGAGCGGCAUCAGCUGCCAGACGGUGCUCAUGUUCCCACCACCGCCUUCCUCCAGAUAUCACACCCGAGUCCCGCGCUCCAUCCACAUGAAGAAAGGAACAUGAAGAGAGAGAGAGAGAGAGAGAGAGGAGAGAGAGAGGAGAGAGAGAGNN